rnacentral:rRNA from 1 species
AUUGAACGCUGGCGGCAGGCCUAACACAUGCAAGUCGAACGAGUGGCGGACGGGUGAGUAAUGUCUGGGAAACGGCCCGAUGGAGGGGGAUAACUACUGGAAACGGUAGCUAAUACCGCAUACCUUCGGAUCUUCCCAGAUGGGAUUGGCUAGUAGGUGGGGUAACGGCUCACCUAGGCGACGACCCCUCGCUGGGCUGAGCGGAUGACCAGCCACACUGGAACGGAGACACGUUCCAGACUCGUACGGGAGGAAGAAGUGGGGAAUAUUGCACAAUGGGCGCAAGCCUGAUGCAGCCCUGCCGCGUGUAUGAAGAAGGCCUUCGGGUUGUAAAGUACUUUCAGCGAGGAGGCGUUACUCGCAGAAGAAGCACCGGCUAACCCCGUGCCAGUAGCCGCGGUAAUUC